rnacentral:rRNA from 1 species
CCCUUAGAUGUUCUGGGCCGCACGCGUGCUACACUGAGUGGAUCAGCGGGUCAGGUUGCGCGAAAGUGUAUCCUAAUCUUUAAAUCCGCUCGUGAUGGGGAUUGACGGUUGCAAUUUUCCGUCAUGAACGAGGAAUACCUUGUAAGCGCGGGUCAUCAUCCCGCGCUGAAUACGUCCCUGCCCUUUGUACACACCGCCCGUCGCUCCUACCGAUUGAGUGGUCCGGUGAGGCUUUGGGAUCUGAGCGGAAAGAGCGUUUCGCUGUUUCUGCCCGGAAAACUCAGUCGAACCUUAUCAUUUAGAGGAAGGAGAAGUCGUAACA